CUAGCGACCAGCUAGUUUCAUUUCAUUGUGAUUGUUCAAAAUACUCAGACGAUUAGACGUGCUCUUGAUGCUCUUGAAGAUUCAAGACGUUGCAGUGAUAUAAGAUCAGCAAAUGUAUAUGAAAUAGAGGAAGAGAAAUCUCUUCCCUUAUAUUACUUAGGUACCUUACUUAAGCUUCAAUACCUGAGAUUAUGUAAAUUAUCAUAGAAAUAUUUAUUUAUACAAUUGUUGUUAAGUAGAAGUUUUACAAAAUCUAUGUAUUUAUAAAUCUAUGUAUAUAUUAUAUCUAUAAAUAAAUUGUGUUAAAUACAAUAUAAGUAAUACAAAAACGCUCAUUAUGGCAUCUGUACAAUCGGGCGGUGUUAAUAAUCAGAUGUGUACAUGCGAUUGUAAUUACAUCUCUUUUCAGUCUUCGAUUAAUAUUCACAAAUUUCCAAAUGCGAUUUCCAAUAAUCUGCUCAAAAUUGGCAGUUUAUAACAGUGUUUGAUAGAAGUGCACUCUAGAAAACUUGUAAAAAAAUCUUACUUUAACCCUUUCAGGACUAUACAAAUUGAUUUAUUUCUUCUUAUAUAAGAAUUGUUACUUUUCUAUAGAAAGAUGAAAAUGCUUUUUUUUUACAUUACAAUUCGACGAUAAACGUUUGUAUCACAAUUCAUCGAACAAUUUUUAAAAAGUGUCUAUCACAUUAUUGAAACAUAAACUUGCGGAAAAUAAAAAAACGGAUACAUAGUCUAGUCUGUACGAAAGUUUAUAAAUAUGGAAAUAUAUAUGUGAAUAAAUAAAUAAAUAAGUCUCUUUGAAUACACAGAGCAUGGAUAAUAAUAACGAUUAUAAGGUAGACGAAUCUGUUUCACAAUGUAAAAUAGAGAAUCGCAUCACAGAGAGAAUCUUGUUGGACUUAAAGAUGAAAAUACGAGAAAAAAAAACUCUGUACUUGCAUCCGUUUGUAUUAAAAAAUGAGACUGAUUUUUUCGAAAAAGUGCCCGUGCUAAUAAAUAGAAAUCUGAAUUAAAUUACGUAUAUUAAGCAGACGCGUAGUAUUCAAGAAAGCAAUUGGUGAA